rnacentral:pre_miRNA from 1 species
CAUAUACUCCCUCCGUCCGGAAAUACUUGUCCUAGAAAUGAAUGUAUCUAAAUUUAUUUUAGUUGUAGAUACAUCCAUUUUAUUCAUUUCUAGGACAAGUAUUUUCGGACGGAGGGAGUAUAUG